AACACACGCAAAAAUCCCAAAUUCCCCCAAACCGUUUGUUUCUCUGGAAAAUACUAGUUAUAGACUGUUCUUUUGACAUACAAAGUAGUGGAGAUGUUAACUUCACCUCAAGGAUAGAAACAGAACCCCCCAAAAGUCGUGCAAAAAGUCUCACCUAGUGAAUCACAUAAAGAUUUGUGGCUUAGAUCUUCGUCGCUUAAGAAGCCACCGGAGCCGUUGCGUCGUGCGGUGGUAGAAUCUCUUUCGUCUUCUUUGCUUGCGGCGGUGGCUGAAGGAGUUAGCUCGCAUCACCAAGGGGAUCCUUGAUUUUAUUUUAUUUUUCCAGUAUUUUUCCUCUUUAUUUUCUUCGCUUCAUUUUCUUUGAGAUUUUAUUUUGUUUUUCCAGUAUUUUUCCUCUUUAUUUUGAUUUUAAUUUUUUUUCAUAUUUGAAGAAUCUUCGAUUGUUUUCUAUAGACUCAUUUCUUGAUCGGAGUUUGGCUUUAAUUUAUGUCAGUUUGAAUGUCCCAGCAGUACUGACAGCAGCUUGUGGUUUUCCACAAUUUUACCUCUAAUUGAAGGCACGUAUAUAGUUAAAACUAUAUAAUCAGACCAUAUACAAUUAGUCAUUGAAAUUUUGAAGAAAAAAACAAACAAAGGUGGCUUCAUGUCAUUCCCUUCUCUCCGUGGCUCCAUUUGUCCAGAGGUUUGAGGAGGAAGGAGCCUUGGUUUCGGGUCAAUCAAAGAAGAACUGUCGUUAGGGCAUUGAAUUGGUCCAAUCAAAAGUCUCCCUAUGAAACUCUUGGUAAUUGUUUUAGCCCUUAUCCGCUAUUAGCUCGAUGAGAAAAGCACCGUUCUUUUUAUCGUUUGGUUAUAUUCCAGAAAUCAAAAUACUUCUAACAAUUUCUUUUUCUGGGUCUGCUAAUUGUAAUUAUAUUGGAACUUUGAUUUCUAAACAACAGAGUUAGAAAGGAAUGAUGAUGAAGAACAGAUAAAGACUUCAUAUAGACGUUUGUCCAAAUUCUAUCAUCUUGAUGGUAUGCGUCCCUUUAAAGUUUCAUAAGUGAAAUAUCUGUUCUUACUGACUUGAUUUUGUUUUCUUCCAUCUUUUGGGCAUUGGUGUUGUGAUUGAGAAUGAAAAUUUUACGUUGGAAUAUUUGGAGGUUGGGCAAACUAAAUGUAGGUCUUUAAAUAAAGUGAACAGAAGUUUAAAAAAUAGAAAUGGUUUAUACUGAACUCUGUUUUAUUGAUUACUGUUGAGGGUUAUAAAAUGAGCUGGACAAAAAGGAACAUCAAGGGUUUAACUUUUAAGUAGCGGGAUUAAGGUAAUAUCGUAAGAGUUUAAUUGCCCUUGAAGGUGGCUUUUGCUCAGAAACAAAAAUAAAAAGUUCUGAUGUUCUAAAAAGUUAAAGAGCAAAACCUUCAGAUAAUUUUGUAUGGCUUGCAGUUUCAGCUAAUGGGCUUUCAGGUGAAAUUGAAGUAUUUGAGAUAUUAGGAGUUUUUGGUUGGUAAGAAAGGUGACUUGUGAUUUUACAUGUUUGCCGGGAGAACUGUUUUGCAGACUUUUUGGCAGAGAUGAAAUCAUUGUUAUCAAUUGUUUCAUGCUUGUUUGUGAUGAUUUCUGUCUUAUCUUCCAACAAUUCCCGAAAAGGCUUUUGUAUUUAGCUUUGGUGUCAUUCUUUGCUUUGUUCAUGAGCACUACUUAGCUUAUUAAAUUAGAUCCAUUGUCUUUGUUUGGUCUUGUAUUAACCAUCCAUUGAAUCAUAAUGGUUGAAUCUCUUGACUGUGAUUAUCUCUAAGAAGUAUUAGAAGAAAUAUAUUAAUAAAAAAGUUCACAAGGUUAAAGUUUACAGAAAGUUAUUCCACUUAAGAGGUAGACUGAUCUCUAAAAUAAAUAUUAUUUUUCCAUCUGUCUGCUAGGCUAGUUACAGAACUGCUGAAUUCUGGAUUGAAAUCCAUUUCUUUAAAGAACUGCUAGAAUGAUGUCCCUUGAAAGUGCUUGAUUAAUUUUGCUAUUUAUGUCUGAUUCUUGUUAAUAUUUGUGAUUCCAACUGGCAUUGAUAACCGUAAGUAGUAGAUCUUCAUAAGCAUUGGUUAAUUCACAAAAGACUUGCAGUGCUUGAGUAUAUGAGGUUCCUAUAAGUGAAAUAAAAAAUAGUAUAACUAUCUCAAAGUUUUAAGUAUCUAUGACGUGUUUGAUAUUUCAUAUCAAAAUACACAUCCAUAGCAUAGGCCUUUUAAUUAAUGGAUUUUAUUUGUGGAAGUUUUCCUAUGAAUAGUAAGAUGGUUUUCUUAACUACAUAACAAUUUUGGGGGACGAAACUGGGGACAGAACUGCUUUCUUAACAAUUUUAGUAGCUUUUUUUUCUAUUAUCUUUGCAAGAGCUGUCAAGGAUGACAAGGUUACGAAAUCUCCGUGCAGGAGGCAGAGUUGUUGACAAAUAUCACAGUAAUUUUUGUCUUUUUACAUUUCAAAUAAAACCAUUUUUAUUUUAUUUUAUACAUGUUGAUAUUUGAACUCAUGACAUUAGCAUCCAUUUCUUCAUCUUCAUUUCUUGAAGCAUCAGAGGUUUCUUGAAGCUUUAAGGUUGUAUGGCCGUGGCUGGCGCCAAAUAGAAGAGCAUGUAGGCACUAAAUCUACUGUUCAAAUUUGAAGCCAUGCUCAAAAGUUUUUCUCUAAGGCUCAUUGCUUUGAGUUCAUUAUAAGAUUUUCUUGAUUAAGUAAAUGUAUUAUAUCUUUUAUUACCAAGAUUUACUUGAUUAAGAAAAUGCAUUGUAUUUUUUAUUACCUUGCAAUGUGUAUAGUCAUAGGCAGGUUCAACUAGUCAGUCUGCUUCUCAUAUGUAUUAUUUAUUUUAGUUUUGAUUCUAAAUUUUUAUUUUUACUUUAAUAUUUACGACAACUUGAGUUCUAA